GACCCUUCAACGAUUUCUUCUCUCAGGCUCUCUAUAGCCCCUUAAAACCCUAAUCACCUCCCGCCUCAUUUCACCCCUUUACCACAGGAAUCCAUGGCAUCUCCAGCCAUGGAUGGCCUGUGCUUACCCUCUAACACCCUUGAGCCUAAGCUACUCAUCGAUUGGAGGCUUGACCUUGAUGGUCUCUUUCCAGAUCCACCUCAGAUCCGUAGAUUUAUGGCCUCCUCGGCCACGUUCCGACGUAUUCAAGCACUGCAAGCUCGAUUCCUGACCAUUUCAACUCCAGAUCCUAUCUUGUUUCUUCCAAGCCUUUCUUUUUUUUAGUGUUCUUAGAAACCCUAAACUAGUCCAGGUUCUUUCUUUGUUUAUUUUUCUAGAUUUAUGCAGGAUCUAUGCUAUAUUUGAUGUUUUAAGUGUUUUACCCAAAUUUCCUUUUCAAAAAUCUUUUGAUUUCCAAUCAGGGUUUCUGAGUCUCUUUUUUAGUAUUUCUGUUUGAUUUACUGUUUAUCAUCUCCAGACUUUAUAGGAGUCUAAAACCCUAAUAUUUGGGUUCAUUUGAGUCUACAAGACUAUUUGUUUGUUUGUUUUACUAUUUUAUCAUCUCUAGACUCGAUUGGUGUUGAAAACCCUAAUUUUAGGUUCGUUCGACUCUUUGAGACUAUUUGUUCAUUUGUUUACUUGUUUGUUAUAUCUAGAAUCGAUUUGUAUUGAAAACCCUAAUUUUAUUUGGGUUUCGAGUCUCUAAAGCAUUUUGCUAAGUAUUUGUGUAAUCUGUUUGUUCAUCAUCUUUAAGCUCGAUUAGUUUUGAAAACCCUAAUUUCUUUGGGGUUUAUUCGAUUUCCUAAAAUUACUUUUGCAUUGCAUCUGUUUGAAAUUGCUCUACUUGAUUUGAAAUUCCUUUGUUUCAGCAUCUCUUUAUGUUAUUCCUUUGGUUUUGCUUUCUUACUACUUGACUAUGCUUUUCAGAAGGGUUUUUCACUUGACCCCUUGCAUGCUCAUGAUACUCUGUCUUUCUCUACUACUACGUCAAUGAAACUCGACCUACAUGACUAUCAUGCUGCAAGUUUUUUCUUUCGUGAUUCUACUGUGAGUUGUUUCCCAUUGCCAAUAGUUUGGCCUCGCAUGUCUAGUGUUUGUGCACUCUGUAUAUAUACUGAGUUUCACUCUUUGAUUGACUUUGAAACUUGUGACUGAUUUCAAACCUUUCCUUUGUGAAAUUAUUAUUUUUACUCGCCUGCUAAGGGUUAAUUGAUUUCCUUCCUUGGUUUGCCUUACUGAGUCCUUUCCAAAAAUAAGUAUGUUCAUGUACUUAGCCUUACUCACCAGCUCAAUUAUUUUACUACUUCUUUUAUGGAAAUAAUCAGUCUCCCUAUAAAUUGAUUUCUUUCCUUAUGUGUGAAUUUUUCACUGCCCGUUAAGCAAGUGAUCCCUCAAUUAAGGACAAUUACUUGUAUAAUUGAUUCUGAAUAGUGAUUGUUUCCAUGUUUGUGGCUUACUACUUCACUUUUUACUCAUUUCCAAAAACUGUAAAUUUUAUGUACCUCUUCUCUUUCAAACACGAACACAAGUCAUUACUUACUUACUCUGAAAUACACUUAGAGUUUUUAAGCACUCGAGUUCUCUAAUUCACAGGCAUAAAGGUUCUUUUUUUAUUGUGGAUUGGCUUGAAAGUAUCCUGCUUUUCUUUGCUUGCUUUUUCUAUAACUGGUAUGUUGCCUUUGUUUAAUUUCUACCGCAUCCCUAUGUGUUUAUUCUUCAAUCCAUUCUUUGCCUAGUUUAUUGUUUCCAUAAUGUAACUUUUCUGCAAAUUGGUUUGUUUCUUUUCUCUGCUCCUAUAUGAAUCCUUACCCCAAUUCCUUUUAUAUGUUUGAGCUAUGGUUAAAAAAAUAUGAUAACAUUUGAUAUUGUUGUUCAUGGACAUGAACUGGACUCUCUGAGUCCUAAACUUUGUUAAUUCUCAUUCCAUUUCCCUUUCUAUGUUUCUGAGUUUGAAUCUUUUAUAUGGCAGUGUCCUAAUCAUUGUC
rnacentral:lncRNA from 1 species